UCUGCCAUAGAGUUUUUACAAGAAUGCUGCUAUGUCACAUCUGUGUCAGUAGGUGGCAGAAAGAAGAUAGGCUAUGUAGAUGCUCAGGGAUCUGACCUAUGACUGAGCAAUUAGUAGUCUAACAUU
ensembl:snoRNA Gm23015 predicted gene, 23015